GGUAGAGGGAAGAGGCAUGGAGCAGAACUUGCUUUCUUGAUUCAGUUUCCAGUCAGAGGUUUGCAGAUAAUAAUUUCCAAUCAGAGGGCAUUUGAGUCACGAUGUGUGUGUUUGUGCGUGGAUAUGUAUGUGUGUGUGACAACCACCUUCCCUUGUCUCUCCCUUAGGGCUUCAGCAUUUCUUUUAUUUGUUUUCAGUUUGUUUUUAUGCCCCGUCCUAUUUCUCAGAGCUGGUAGAGCCUACAUUGGAUUUAAUAUCAUUUUCCAAUCAGCCAGUGCUAGGGGCCAUGGGCUUUGGACUCCGGUGUGCUUUUCCGUUUAAUACCAAGAGAAAAAAACAGAGGAAAUUUCUCUGGACAGGAUCUUCCAGUGUUACGUGAUCUCCAGCAAGCAGAUUCUGAAUGACUGUAUCCAGUGCUGCCUGGCUUGGACAGAGCUCUAUCUGCACACCUCCCAGCUCCACCACAACUUUAUGGCCCUUCUUCUCCCUGUCAUUUCCACCAUCACUGGCUCUGCCUAACCCACACAGUCAUCUCAGCUUCUCCACACAAUUCUUGAGCUCAUGCUCUCCCUUUCGCCAUGGAAAUGAUACCGCUGCUAAAUGAGAGUGCCAAAGCUGUUCCGUGAUUGCAGCCCUCCUGCUAAAAAGAACAGCAUUUUACGGUGCGAUGACAGACUUUCUUCUUCAAAGUGAGGGCAACUUACUGCCAAAUGACUAAGGCUGAAGACUGAACCAUUUGAAAGGAGCUCUCUCAGAGUCAUCUCCUGAAGUUUUUUUUUAUUGCACUUAGGUUUAGGUUGCCGUUUCUUCUUUAGGUGUGGUGAAACUUUGCAAUACAGUUUCAUCAUGUCUCAGCAGAAUGCGGCUUCUGCUUCGUAGCAUUCUGCCAUAAACUACGGCAUAACUUAUAGUGGCUGUGAUUUUGAAAGAUGUUAACAGUGUAGCAAAUGCUGUAUUGUUGAAGUUGAAUGUAACAGUUUCAGUGGGAGGGAUACACUGUAGAGAAGAAACAUUUAUUUCCUAAACAGGUCUUCCCUACAGGAUACAGCCAUUCAGUUGUGGCUUUUAAAAACAGCAAGGGGCUCCAGAGGUAUUUCGCGGGAAGUAAUGUGCGGUCAACCAAACACAACACAAUGUUCUUAGUGGGUUACACCCUAAGGUCUCUCGCUCUCACCCCAGCCCUGCAUUUUUCUCGGAUUGUUUCAUAUUUUUAGUGUUCUGGGCCUGCUGGUUGUUUAUGACUGUUGGCUCCAUUUGUUGUGAUAGAAACAAAGAGUUUGUUUUGCCCCGCAGAUGCUGAGAUCUCUGAUCCUUCAGUUGAGUAGCUGACCUCAUCCCCCAAAAUACAGCCAGUGCUCAGACAGCACAAGGAAUAUAGUGUUCCACCUCUCUUACUAACAUUGUAC
ensembl:lncRNA